UGGGAUAGCUCAGUCGGCACAACAUGAGACUCUGAAUCUCAGGGUUGUGGGUUUGAGCCUCACACUGCGCAA